rnacentral:tRNA from 1 species
GCUGUGGUGGUUCAGUGGAUUGAGCGUCGUCCAUGGACCAAGAGGUCCUGGGUUCGAUUCCCAGUCAUGGCA